AAACCAACAGGGAUUGCCCUAGUAACGGCGAGUGAAGCGGCAACAGCUCAAAUUUGAAAUCUGGCUCUUUUAGAGUCCGAGUUGUAAUUUGCAGAGGGCGCUUUGGCUUUGGCAGCGGUCCAAGUUCCUUGGAACAGGACGUCACAGAGGGUGAGAAUCCCGUACGUGGUCGCUGGCUAUUGCCGUGUAAAGCCCCUUCGACGAGUCGAGUUGUUUGGGAAUGCAGCUCUAAAUGGGAGGUACAUUUCUUCUAAAGCUAAAUAUUGGCCAGAGACCGAUAGCGCACAAGUAGAGUGAUCGAAAGAUGAAAAGCACUUUGGAAAGAGAGUCAAACAGCACGUGAAAUUGUUGAAAGGGAAGCGCUUGCAGCCAGACUUGCUUGCAGUUGCUCAUCCGGGCUUUUGCCCGGUGCACUCUUCUGCAGGCAGGCCAGCAUCAGUUUGGGCGGUAGGAUAAAGGUCUCUGUCACGUACCUCUCUUCGGGGAGGCCUUAUAGGGGAGACGACAUACUACCAGCCUAGACUGAGGUCCGCGCAUCUGCUAGGAUGCUGGCGUAAUGGCUGUAAGCGGC
rnacentral:rRNA from 1 species